CAAAUGUACAUCACCAUUUCAUAGGUGGCCUUGUCACCACAGGCCAGCCUGAGCAUGGUGGGUGCCUCACAGAAGAAGUGGUCGAUCUUGUGGGAAGCACAGAAUGGGAGACUCAUGGUGAUGGGGGUGAGGAGGAAGCUGUCCAAAGCACCGCCGAACCAAGAGCUGGCCAAGAUCAUCCAACAGACUUGGUGACUCAUGAUGACAGGAUAGCGGAGGGGGUUGCAGAUGGCCACGUAGCGGUCAUAGGCCAUGAGUCCCAGCAGGAAGAAUUCAGCCCCCACAAAGCCCAUGUAGAGAAAGUACUGGGCUGUACAAGGAGAUAAAGGAGAUGGUCCUCUUGCCCAUGAGAUAAUCAACCAGUGUCUUGGGCACAAUGGUGGAAAUGUACAUCAUGUCAAUGAAGGAGAGGUGGCUGAGCAGGAAGUACAUAGGAGUGUGGAGAUUUGCAGCUUCUUCUUUCUUUACUGUUGAAGAGCAAUUCCAAAGUUGGGUCUCCAUGACACGAAGACGAAUGGACAUUUGGAAAUGGAUGCUUGGUUUAAGAGAGCUUGAUUAUUAUUACAGAACAUCUGGGUCCAAGAGAGUG
rnacentral:lncRNA from 1 species